AGUUUUGGAAAUCAAACCCUGGGC
rnacentral:piRNA from 1 species